rnacentral:rRNA from 1 species
AGAGUUUGAUCCUGGCUCAGGAUGAACGCUAGCGACAGGCCUAACACAUGCAAGUCGAGGGGCAGCAUGGUAUCAGCUUGCUGAUACCGAUGGCGACCGGCGCACGGGUGAGUAACGCGUAUGUAAUCUACCUGUAACAGAGGGAUAACCCGGAGAAAUCCGGACUAAUACCUCAUAGCACAUAUUAUUCGCAUGAGUUUUAUGUUAAAGAGACUCGGUUACAGAUGAACAUGCGUUCCAUUAGCUGGUUGGCGGGGUAACGGCCCACCAAGGCAACGAUGGAUAGGGGUUCUGAGAGGAAGGUCCCCCACACUGGUACUGAGACACGGACCAGACUCCUACGGGAGGCAGUA